rnacentral:rRNA from 1 species
GACGAACGCUGGCGGCGUGCUUAACACAUGCAAGUCGAACGGAAAGGCCCUGCUUUUGUGGGGUGCUCGAGUGGCGAACGGGUGAGUAACACGUGAGUAACCUGCCCUUGACUUUGGGAUAACUUCAGGAAACUGGGGCUAAUACCGGAUAGGAGCUCCUGCUGCAUGGUGGGGGUUGGAAAGUUUCGGCGGUUGGGGAUGGACUCGCGGCUUAUCAGCUUGUUGGUGGGGUAGUGGCUUACCAAGGUUUUGACGGGUAGCCGGCCUGAGAGGGUGACCGGCCACAUUGGGACUGCGAUACGGCCCAGACUCCUACGGGAGGCAGCAGUGGGGAAUAUUGCACAAUGGGCGGAAGCCUGAUGCAGCAACGCCGCGUGCGGGAUGACGGCCUUCGGGUUGUAAACCGCCUUCGCCUGUGACGAAGCGUGAGUGACGGUAAUGGGUAAAGAAGCACCGGCUAACUACGUG